rnacentral:rRNA from 1 species
AUGAACGCUGGCGGCGUGCUUAACACAUGCAAGUCGAACGAAGCACUUUAUUUGAUUUCCUUCGGGACUGAUUAUUUUGUGACUGAGUGGCGGACGGGUGAGUAACGCGUGGGUAACCUGCCUUGUACAGGGGGAUAACAGUUGGAAACGGCUGCUAAUACCGCAUAAGCGCACAGCAUCGCAUGAUGCAGUGUGAAAAACUCCGGUGGUAUAAGAUGGACCCGCGUUGGAUUAGCUAGUUGGUGAGGUAACGGCCCACCAAGGCGACGAUCCAUAGCCGACCUGAGAGGGUGACCGGCCACAUUGGGACUGAGACACGGCCCAAACUCCUACGGGAGGCAGCAGUGGGGAAUAUUGCACAAUGGGCGAAAGCCUGAUGCAGCGACGCCGCGUGAGCGAAGAAGUAUUUCGGUAUGUAAAGCUCUAUCGGCAGGGAAGAUAAUGACGGUACCUGACGAAGAAGCACCGGCUAAAUACGUG